GACGAACCGUGCGAACGUUGUUCGGAAUCACUGGGCUUAAAGGGCGCGUAGGCGGGCCCGCAAGUCAGGGGUGAAAUCCCACGGCUCAACCGUGGAAGUGCCCUUUGAUACUGCGGGUCUCGAGGAAGGUAGGGGCAUGCGGAACUGUAGGUGGAGCGGUGAAAUGCGUUGAUAUCUACAGGAACUCCGGUGGCGAAAGCGGCGUGCUGGACCUUUUCUGACGCUGAGGCGCGAAA
rnacentral:rRNA from 1 species